rnacentral:lncRNA from 1 species
UGAAGAAAGCCUUUGAUACAAGUAACAGCUCAUUCUUCAUCAUCCUCGUCGGCAUCACCGCCUGCCGCCUUCUUGGCAGCGGCUUUCUGGUUCUUUCGCUUAACUCUGCCGGGUCGGCCACCACCAAAGGGACUUGUGAGCGAGAAGUCAAUGUGCUUCUGUGAGUCAACUCUCACCAUGAAAGACGGAACAUUCACCACUUGCCUUCCAACCCUUACCUGAUGUGCCUCUGCUUGAUGAGCACUCUAGCAUGAUGAAUAGACUUAGCCAUACCGGUUUUGAACACGAGUGUCUGCAAACGACGUUCUAGAAAGUUCUCAACGGUAAGUGCCAAUACAUAAUCAAGCUUGUUUUGGCUCUCAUCCAAAAGCCCGUAACGGUUCAUUCUCCUCAUAAGUGCUUCACCCUCGAAAAUUCGACGGGGGUCCUUUUCUUCGAGGGUCAAAAGCAUUCUUGCGGCAUUUCUAAUUCGACUAAGAGCGUAUUGCACCCUCCAGAGCUCGCGUUUGCAUCGGAGACCGUAUUCUCCUACGAGUUUUAACUCAGCGUCCAAACGUUCCUUCUCGUAUGGACGACGGGGCUUCUUGAAAGUCUUUCCAUCUGUUUCGAUAAAAUGACACAUGGACCAUCGCUGUCCAAUUUCAGUGCAGCAACUGCUUGCUGCUCUUCUCACGUUCUUCCUUCG